GCUCAAAUGAACGCUGGCGGCAGGCCUUACACAUGCAAGUCGAGCGGAUGAAGGGAGCUUGCUCCUGGAUUCAGCGGCGGACGGGUGAGUAAUGCCUAGGAAUCUGCCUGGUAGUGGGGGAUAACGUCCGGAAACGGGCGCUAAUACCGCAUACGUCCUGAGGGAGAAAGUGGGGGAUCUUCGGACCUCACGCUAUCAGAUGAGCCUAGGUCGGAUUAGCUAGUUGGUGGGGUAAAGGCCUACCAAGGCGACGAUCCGUGACUGGUCUGAGAGGAUGAUCAGUCACACUGGAACUGAGACACGGUCCAGACUCCUACGGGAGGCAGCAGUGGGGAAUAUUGGACAAUGGGCGAAAGCCUGAUCCAGCCAUGCCGCGUGUGUGAAGAAGGUCUUCGGAUUGUAAAGCACUUUAAGUUGGGAGGAAGGGCAGUAAGUUAAUACCUUGCUGUUUUGACGUACCAACAGAAUAAGCACCGGCUA
rnacentral:rRNA from 1 species